rnacentral:rRNA from 1 species
CCUACGUGAGGCAGCAGUAGGGAAUCUUCCACAAUGGGCGAAAGCCUGAUGGAGCAACGCCGCGUGGGUGAAGAAGGUCUUCGGAUCGUAAAACCCUGUUGUUAGAGAAGCAAGUGCGUGAGAGUAACUGUUCACGUUUCGACGGUAUCUAACCAGAAAGCAACGGCUAAAUACGUGCCAGCAGCCGCGGUAAUACGUAGGUGGCAAGCGUUAUCCGGAUUUAUUGGGCGUAAAGGGAACGCAGGCGGUCUUUUAAGUCUGAUGUGAAAGCCUUCGGCUUAACCGGAGUAGUGCAUUGGAAACUGGGAGACUUGAGUGCAGAAGAGGAGAGUGGAACUCCAUGUGUAGCGGUGAAAUGCGUAGAUAUAUGGAAGAACACCAGUGGCGAAAGCGGCUCUCUGGUCUGUAACUGACGCUGAGGUUCGAAAGCGUGGGUAGCAAACAGGAUUAGAUACCCCUGUAGUC